rnacentral:tRNA from 1 species
GCCCGGAUGGCUUAGUCGGUUGAGCGUCCGACUUCAGCUCAGGUCAUGAUCUCACGGUUUGUGAGUUUGAGCCCCACCUUGGGCU